AUUGAACGCUGGCGGCAUGCCUAACACAUGCAAGUCGAACGAGUGGCGGACGGGUGAGUAAUGUCUGGGAACUUGCCUGAUGGAGGGGGAUAACUACUGGAAACGGUAGCUAAUACCGCAUACCAUCGGAUGUGCCCAGAUGGGAUUAGCUAGUAGGUGGGGUAAAGGCUCACAUAGGCAACGAUCCCUAGUUGGUCUGAGAGGAUGACCAGCCACACUGGAACUGAGACACGGCCCAGACUCCUACGGGAGGCAGCAGUGGGGAAUAUUGCACAAUGGGCGCAAGCCUGAUGCAGCCAUGCCGCGUGUAUGAAGAAGGCCUUCGGGUUGUAAAGUACUUUCAGCGGGGAGGCGUUACCCACAGAAGAAGCACCGGCUAACUCCGUGCCAGCAGCCGCGGUAAUUC
rnacentral:rRNA from 1 species